AUCUAUGCAACUAUUCUAAAAUGACCUAUGAUGCCAAGUGCCUUGCUCAUUACUGGUGUAAUCAGUUUUGGAAUGAUUUUCAACAUGCAGUUUACAUCUGCAAGCAGGGGAAGAAUCAAAAUUCAGAGAAUCACUACUCAUAUGGUGAUAAUGAGGGUGCCCAAGCUGAGCUGAUAUUUGAUGAUGAGGCGCUGGAUCAGCUAAGUGCCAUCCCCGGGGUCCUGGAGAUGGCUGUGGAGAUGGGCUAUCAGUGUGAUGUAAAUAGUUUUUCAUAGAACCUGUAAAUAAUUAGGUGAGACAUCUCACAAGUACUUAGGAUAAUAUAAGAUUAAGGUAGUUUAACCUUAUCUUAACUAAUCCUAAGAUUGUAUGAUAUAAGAUUACAUAGGAUAAGACUAAGAAUAGGUUAAGAUAAGGUUGUAUAUAAUGUAAGAUAACAUAGAAUAAGAUAAGACUAAGAUAGGAUAAGUUAAGAUUAAAGUAAGAUAGUAUGACAUAAGAUUACAUAGGAUAAGAUAAGAAUAGGUUAAGAUAAGACUUCUUAUUCUUGUUUUUCUAUUAAAUAAAUAUGGAUUAUUUUGCGUA